rnacentral:lncRNA from 1 species
GAAACGUGCUGGGAUGGCAAGAUGCCAAUUCUACAGAGUUUGACCCUACGACCAGUCAUCCCGUGGGAAACUCUAUGGAGACGCAGACUACUUGGAAGAGAGGCACCGCCACCGAUUUGAGGUGAAUCCAGUCUGGAAAAAGUGUUUGGAAGAACAAGGCUUGAAGUUUGUUGGCCAAGAUGUUGAAGGAGAGAGAAUGGAAAUUGUGGAGUUAGAAGAUCAUCCCUUUUUUGUUGGGGUUCAGUACCACCCUGAGUUCCUGUCCAGGCCUAUCAAGCCCUCCCCACCAUACUUUGGCCUCCUCCUGGCCUCUGUGGGGCGGCUCUCACAUUACCUCCAGAAAGGCUGCAGGCUCUCACCCAGGGACACCUAUAGUGACAGGAGUGGAAGCAGCUCCCCUGACUCUGAAAUCACCGAACUGAAGUUUCCAUCAAUAAAUCAUGACUGAUCUUGUAGCGGAUGAUUCUUCAAGAGACCCUUCAAACUUGGGUAGAGUUUACAGCUCUGACUUUACACUCGGCUUUGGAGACUUUCUUUAAAUUAUGUUUUUAUUA